ACGAGCGCACCCUCGCCCUUAGUUGCCAGCAUUAAGUUGGGCACUCUAGGGGGACUGCCGGUGAUAAGCCGAGAGGAAGGUGGGGAUGACGUCAAGUCCUCAUGGCCCUUACGGGCUGGGCUACACACGUGCUACAAUGGCAGUGACAAUGGGCAGCGAAGGGGCGACCCCGAGCUAAUCUCAAAAAACUGUCUCAGUUCGGAUUGUACUCUGCAACUCGAGUGCAUGAAGUCGGAAUCGCUAGUAAUCGCAGAUCAGCAUGCUGCGGUGAAUACGUUCCCGGGCCUU
rnacentral:rRNA from 1 species